AGCUUGCUUGUUGCUGGGGAAAAGACUUGCUGCUUUGUGUUUCAUUUGAUGAAGAGCUUCUUUUCAUUUAGUCAGUCACUUAUUUCCAGAGAUUUCCUGGUGAUGUUGCCUCACAUUUAUUUGUGGAAAUGCCAGUAUGUUUUAAGCUUGCAGCUUCCAUAAGUCAGGAUUCCAGUCACAGCUUAGCUGGAUCCUCUCAGAAGGCUACGAUCAAGGUGUCAGCCAGACUGAGUUCUCAUCAGAGGCUCGACUAGGAGAGGAUCUGCUUCCAAGUUCCCUCAGGUUGUUGGAAGGAUUCAUUUUCUUGUGGCUAAGCUCACAGGAGCUUUCUUCUUCAAGGGCAUCAGGAGAGUGGAGAGCGAGUCUACUCAAAGACUUCUAUACAAAUCAUAAGACAUCAAGUACUCUUCAACUGCCUAUUGGGAGACAAUUUCCACAGCUCUCUCAUGUUUCUGCACAACUUGUAAGCAAGACAAGACUCUCUUAUCUUCUGGACUCUAUUUUCAAGAAUACUCAUAUAGUGAACAGUGUCUUCUUCCUGAGCGAAGGGCAUAAAUGCUACUUUCCAUUUUAAAAGAUUCAAGUUCCCUAAGCUCGGAAUUCUUCUGUAAUGCAACCCAUUGUGUGUGCAGGUAUCACCUGGCAUUCUUCCCAUUACCCUGUGGGAAUUGGAGCUCAGGGAACCUUCAUAGAAAUUCUGAUAGUCUAGCUACUGCUAUUUCUAUGAGUAAUAAAUUGUUUCUGACCUAGAAGUCUUGUGUCUUCUGCUGGCACCCAUGAAAUUAUGAGGCUAAAUUGUUAGAUUACAAGUGAGGUAAAAUCUUGGACGCUUCCCAGUUCUUGACACUGACUAAAAUACAUGCAUAUUCGUUUUAUCAAGUCAGUUUGAAAAAAAAUCUAUGAAUUAAAAUAAUUACAAAAUUCUAAGGACUGAAUUUGUAAUAUAUUGGAUGAACAAAACCCUCUACCUUGGUUCUGAAAUUCUUGAUAGUUGAGAUAUGUGUAACAUUUGUAAUUUGAAAUACACAAGUAAUUCUCUAUUUAAAAGGUCAUAUAUCCAAAGUAUUGAAAAAUCUAGAAUACAUUAAACUUUAGCUAUCCAUGGUGAAAGGCAGUGGCAAAACAGCUGCAGAAAAGCUGAAACUAGAUUCAAUUAAAUCUUUGUGCCAAAACCAAGUGCACAAAAAUCUCCCAAAGCUGUUAAAACUAUACAGCUUAUUUGCUAUAAAUUUUAUAAAUGGUUAAAUAAAACAAGUUUUGAAGUAAUUUGGUAAAUUGACAAAUUUUUCACUCAUUGAUUUGUUGUAGCUAAUGAGGGAUGGUGGGGAGUGGAGAAGGGUUCAGAGAACUUGGGAAGGAUAUAAAAAUGGAGGUAUGUGGGGCAAAUGCCCCCAACUACAUGUUUUAAUCAAGAACACCAGCCUAUGAUCAAGGGAAUUUUCAUAUACAGAUGAGAGCUAGUCUCACUUGAUCUUUCUGCAUUAAAACUGUUACAAAGCAACUUCUUUAUCAAAUGAAUACAAUCACAUUUAGUAGAGGCUCUAGUUAAGACCUGAGGCUAUACUGACCUGGGUUAGAGACCUGGCUUUUACAUUUUUACCUAAUCUCUCUAAGCCUUAAUUUCUCAGUUUUAAAAGUGCAGGUAAUCAUAGCAUGUGUUUCCCAAGGAUGUUGUAAAGAUUAGUGUCAGGAUGGCUGAGUGGUGUAAGGCACCAGACCCAAGGAUGUUGUAAGGAUUAAUUGAAAUAUCCACUUGAAUUGCUUAGCAUGAUACCUGCUAUGUAGAAAGUGCUUGAUAGCCUUAACAAUAUAUAUCAUUAAGAAAUUUCCUUGGAAUGGGAAUUUCAAACCACUUUAUCAAAUAUACUUACUUCCUCACUUACUUUUGUGGUUUGGUAGCUUUUUCUUUACACAUUUAGGAGGUGGGGAAGCACAGAGAUAUAGCACUUUCUUUUUUUUUUCUUUGAGACAGAGUCUCGCCCUGUCACCCAGGCUGGAGUGCAGUGGCGCCAUCUUGGCUCACUGCAACCUCCGCCUCCCAGGUUCAAGCUAUUCUCCUGCUUCAGCUUCCUGAGUAGCUGGGACUACAGGUGCACGCCACCAAGCCCGGCUAAUUUUUGUAUUUUUAGUAGAGAAGGGGUUUCACCAUGUUGGCCAGGAUGGUCUCGAUCUCCUGACCUCGUGAUCCACCCGCCUUGGCCUCCCAAAGUGCUAGGAUAACCGGUGUAAGCCACCGCACCUGGCCAGAUAUAGCACUUUCUAAAAGGUCUAUAAAUCUUUCUAAAGAUUAAUAUUGAGUGGGAUCAAUGUGUUUUAGGGAAUCCAGAUACUGCACACCACUUUGCAAAUGUUUAGAUUUUAGCAGAACAACAAAUGGACUUUGCAAAGACUGUCUUUUAAUUAUUAAACCUCUAUUUAUUAAAAAGAAAUUAGGCCAGGCACAGUGGCUCACGCCUGUAAUCCCAGAACUUUGGGAGGCCGAGGUGGGUGGAUCACCUGAGGUCAGGAGUUCAAGACCAGCCUGGCCAACAUGGUGAGACCACAUCUCUACUACAAAUACAAAAAUUAGUCGGGCAUGGUGGCAGGCACCUGCAAUCUCAGCUACUUGGGAGGCUGAAUGAAUUUACAGGUAGGAAGGCACACAUUAUAUAAGUUAAAAUUCAGUUCAACUAUGAGUGACAGAAAACCCUAAUGAGUGGUAGCUUAAACAUACAAUGUUUACUCCCUCAAACAAAAUGUCUGCCUGAUAUGUAGCUGAUGUGAGGCUCCAUGGUGUCAGGGUCCCAGGUUUCUUUUAUCUAUGGCUUUGCCAUCUUUAUCACAUGAACCAUAAUGACUGCUUGAGUUUCUUAUGGUCUAAAAUGGUUUCUUGAGUUUCCUAUCCCCAUCCAGUCAGGAAG
ensembl:lncRNA LINC01204 long intergenic non-protein coding RNA 1204